rnacentral:tRNA from 1 species
GCGCUCUUGCUUUGCAGGAUUGCAGCCUCCGAAGCUGUAGGUUGCGCGUUCGAGCCGCGCCGGGCGCA